rnacentral:tRNA from 1 species
GAGGGUAUAGCUCAGUGGUAGAGCGCAUGCUUAGCAUACAUGAGGUCAUGGGUUGGAUCCCCAGUAUCUCUG